GGGAUUGCCUUAGUAACGGCGAGUGAAGCGGCAAUAGCUCAAAUUUGAAAGCUGGCCCCUUUGGGGUCCGCGUUGUAAUUUGUAGAGGAUGAUUCGGCGAGGGCUCCCGUCUAAGUCCCCUGGAACGGGGCGUCAUAGAGGGUGAGAAUCCCGUAUGUGAUGGGUUGCCUUAGCCAUGUGAAUCUCCUUCGACGAGUCGAGUUGUUUGGGAAUGCAGCUCUAAAUGGGAGGUAAAUUUCUUCUAAAGCUAAAUACCGGCCAGAGACCGAUAGCGCACAAGUAGAGUGAUCGAAAGAUGAAAAGCACUUUGGAAAGAGAGUUAAAAAGUACGUGAAAUUGUUGAAAGGGAAGCGCUUGCAGCCAGACUUGUCCGCAGUUGCUCAGCCGGUCUCCUGACCGGCGUACUCUUCUGCGGCCAGGCCAGCAUCAGUUCGGGCGGUCGGAUAAAGACCUCGGGAAUGUAGCUCCUCUCGGGGAGUGUUAUAGCCCGGGGUGGAAUGCGGCCAGCCUGGACUGAGGAUCUCGCUUCGGCUAGGAUGCUGGCGUAAUGGCUGUAAGCGGCCCGUCUUGAAACACGGACCAAGGAGUCUAACAUCUAUGCGAGUGUUUGGGUGUCAAACCCAUACGCGUAAUGAAAGUGAACGGAGGUGGGAACCCUCACGGGUGCACCAUCGACCGAUCCUGAUGUCUUCGGAUGGAUUUGAGUAUGAGCAUAGCUGUUGGGACCCGAAAGAUGGUGAACUAUGCCUGAAUAGGGUGAAGCCAGAGGAAACUCUGGUGGAGGCUCGCAGCGGUUCUGACGUGCAAAUCGAUCGUCAAAUUUGGGUAUAGGGGCGAAGA
rnacentral:rRNA from 1 species